AGUGUGGGUAAUUCAGAUAGAGAGAGAGAGAGAGAGCGAGAUCAGCUUACAAGUAUAGCUUACAAAUUUACGGUUAGCAGCAGCGUUGCCACCAGGUGGAUAACAAGCGCACAGCUGUUUAUUUGCACAUUAGGAAAAAAAGAGGAACGGAAUGUCACCAAAUAUAUUAAACUCCAAUAUUCUGUUCAGCAGGGGGUGCAGUGGUGCGGGGAAAGUUAAUUAUAGCCGGUUGCAUGCGGGGGCCACACACUGACACGAGGAAAGGACGCACACAUAUGUGUGGCUGGUAUGCAAAAUGUUGCAAUCCGCGCCAUGUUGCGGGACAGUGCUGCUCGUUCUCUGGGCACAUGAGUCUAGCCCAUACAAAUUAAAUGUUGCCAGCCGCAUACGACAUUGUUGCGAUGAAGGAGGGAAAAAAGAGAGCAAAUAUCCCACCAAACGGCUACCAAAAUUCAAAAAAAUUUUAAAAAUUGGCUAACCAAAAAAAAAAAACGAAAAAUGAAAAUAGAUAACCCAAACGUAUCAAAUUUUGUGGUUUUUAUUUAAGAAUUAAGAACAAUUUAAUUCUUUAUUUAAAUUGUAAAAACACCAACCCAUUGAGUGGAAAAAAUAUACUCAAAUCGGAGUUGCGUUGUUGCCUGGGGUUUGAUUGCGUUUUGUUUUGGAAAAUCACUCAAAAUAGGUAAAAGAGAACGCUCUGUAAUGUUUUACAAUGCUACCUUAUUUGAAGUUCCACUGAACUGCGUACAACUGUUACGGUAUGCCAUCCACUUGUGUUUCCAGUUAAUCCGAGAUAAUUCAUACAGUGGAUGCAUUAUUGGCGCCAAUUUAAGAUCCAACCCAGGAUCCAAAAUGUUGGAGACAUUACUUGCCAGUCAUUAAAACAUCUGCAUUUUCUUACAUCGAUUACUAUUAAAAUUAUGUUUUAUUAAUCUUUGUUUUACAACAAAAUACAGACUAAAUAAUAAGUAAAAUAUAUUUAUUUAUUAUAUAUUCUUAUUAUUAUUAAUAUUGACCCUGGCCAGUGGUGGCGCUCAAAGUUUACGCUAUUUUGUUUGAAUUUUCCGUUUAUGGGGAGCUACUGUUUAUUAUGUUAUGUUUCAGUUUUAUUCAUUAUUAUAAAGGAGACAACUAUCUACUAAACUGUCGUUGGCCCACGCCCAUGCGCGGUAUUUAUUACUCUUUCGCUUACUAUUUAUUCUAUGACAAAAUUUAAAAUGUGUUGCUUGUGCCGGGUGCGUGUACAUUUAAACCAAAGGGUUAUGUUUUACAAAAAAUAUAUUGUUAAAAUGAUUGGAUAAAUGCAUAAAUAAGUAGUUAAAAAUGGUUGGCUGCAGAGGGGACUAUCCUUCAGCCCGGUUCGGUUCGGUUCGGUAUACUACAGUCAAAAAUUUGUGUGAUUUCAAGUAUUUUUGUACAAUUUAUUCGCAUGUGGUGUUUCUAUACAUUUACAAUUAUGUAUGCAUUACUUUAUUCUUAUGUGGGAAGCAACAUGCACAUACAUAACAUCGAAAAACAAGCGCCCUAAAAUACAGAUUGCUUCUUUCCUUGGGGUUUCGUUUCAUUCAUUGCUGGGGCAACGCGCGCAUAGCCAGCACGCGGUCCAAAAAA